GAUGAACGCUGGCGGCGUGCCUAAUACAUGCAAGUCGAGCGAACAGACGAGUAGCUUGCUCCUCUGACGUUAGCGGCGGACGGGUGAGUAACACGUGGAUAACCUACCUAUAAGACUUGGAUAACUUCGGGAAACCGGAGCUAAUACCGGAUAAUAUAUUGAACCGCAUGGUUCAAUAGUGAAAGACGGUUUUGCUGUCACUUAUAGAUGGAUCCGCGCCGCAUUAGCUAGUUGGUAAGGUAACGGCUUACCAAGGCAACGAUGCGUAGCCGACCUGAGAGGGUGAUCGGCCACACUGGAACUGAGACACGGUCCAGACUCCUACGGGAGGCAGCAGUAGGGAAUCUUCCGCAAUGGGCGAAAGCCUGACGGAGCAACGCCGCGUGAGGGAUGAAGGUCUUCGGAUCGUAAAAAUCUGUUAUUAGUGAAGAACAAAUGUGUAAGUAACUAUGCACGUCUUGACGGUACCUAAUCAGAAAGCCACGGCUAACUACGUG
rnacentral:rRNA from 1 species